rnacentral:rRNA from 1 species
GAUGAACGCUGGCGGCGUGCCUAAUACAUGCAAGUCGAGCGAACAGACGAGGAGCUUGCUCCUCUGACGUUAGCGGCGGACGGGUGAGUAACACGUGGAUAACCUACCUAUAAGACUGGGAUAACUUCGGGAAACCGGAGCUAAUACCGGAUAAUAUAUUGAACCGCAUGGUUCAAUAGUGAAAGACGGUUUUGCUGUCACUUAUAGAUGGAUCCGCGCCGCAUUAGCUAGUUGGUAAGGUAACGGCUUACCAAGGCAACGAUGCGUAGCCGACCUGAGAGGGUGAUCGGCCACACUGGAACUGAGACACGGUCCAGACUCCUACGGGAGGCAGCAGUAGGGUAUCUGCCGCAAUGGGCGAAAGCCUGACGGAGCAACGCCGCGUGAGUGAUGAAGGUCUUCGGAUCGUAAAACUCUGUUAUUAGGGAAGAACAAAUGUGUAAGUAACUAUGCACGUCUUGACGGUACCUAAUCAGAAAGCCACGGCUAACUACG